rnacentral:rRNA from 1 species
AUUGAACGCUGGCGGCAGGCCUAACACAUGCAAGUCGAACGGUAACAGGAAACAGCUUGCUGUUUCGCUGACGAGUGGCGGACGGGUGAGUAAUGUCUGGGAAACUGCCUGAUGGAGGGGGAUAACUACUGGAAACGGUAGCUAAUACCGCAUAACGUCGCAAGACCAAAGAGGGGGACCUUCGGGCCUCUUGCCAUCGGAUGUGCCCAGAUGGGAUUAGCUAGUAGGUGGGGUAACGGCUCACCUAGGCGACGAUCCCUAGCUGGUCUGAGAGGAUGACCAGCCACACUGGAACUGAGACACGGUCCAGACUCCUAAGGGAGGCAGCAGUGGGGAAUAUUGCACAAUGGGCGCAAGCCUGAUGCAGCCAUGCCGCGUGUAUGAAGAAGGCCUUCGGGUUGUAAAGUACUUUCAGCGGGGAGGAAGGGAGUAAAGUUAAUACCUUUACUCAUUGACGUUACCCGCAGAAGAAGCACCGGCUAACUCCGUG